GAUGAACGCUGGCGGCGUGCCUAAUACAUGCAAGUCGAGCGAACAGACCCGGAGCUUGCUCCUCUGACGUUAGCCGCGGACGUGAGAGUAACACGAGGAUCACCUACCUAUCUGACUGGUAUCACUUCGGGAAACUGGCGCUAAUACCAUAUAAGAUCUUGAUCCGCAUUGUUCAACAGUUAAAGUCGGUCUUGCUGUCACUUCUCGCUGUCUCCGCGCCGCAUUAGCGAGUUGGUAAGGUAAAGGCUUACCAAGGCAACGCUGCGUAGCCGACCUGAGAGGGUGGUCGGCCAAACUGGAAGUGAGACCAGGUACAGACGCCUAGGGGAGGCAGCAGUAGGGAAUCGUCAGAAAUGGGCGGAAGACUGACGGAGAAACGCGGAGGGAGUGAGGAAGGUCUUCGGAUGGGAAAACACUGUUAUUGGGGAAGAACACAUGUGUAAGUAACUAGGCGCGUCUGGAAGGUAAAUGAGCAGAAAGCCACGGCUAAAUAAGUG
rnacentral:rRNA from 1 species